UAGGGAAUCUUCGGCAACGGGGGGAACCCUGACCGAGCAACGCCGCGUGAGUGAAGAAGGUGUUCGGAUCGUAAAGAUCUGUUGUUAAGGAAGAAGGAGUGUGAGAAUGGAAAGUUCAUGCUGUGACGGUACUUAACCAGAAAGGGACGGCUAACUACGUGCCAGCAGCCGCGGUAAUACGUAGGUCCCGAGCGUUGUCCGGAUUUAUUGGGCGUAAAGCGAGCGCCGGCGGUUAGAAAAGUCUGAAGUGAAAGGCAGUGGCUCAAACAAUGUAGGCUUUUGAAGCUGUUUAACUUGAGUGCAGAAGGGAAGGGUAGAAUUCCAGGUGUAGCGGUGAAAUGCGUAGAUAUGAGGAAGAACACCGGUGGCGAAAGCGGCUCUCUGGUCUGUAGCUGACGCUGAGGCUCGAAAGCGUGGGGAGCCAACAGG
rnacentral:rRNA from 1 species